UACGAAGGGGGCUAGCGUUGUUCGGAAUCACUGGGCGUAAAGGGCGCGUAGGCGGCCGAUCAAGUCGGGGGUGAAAGCCUGUGGCUCAACCACAGAAUUGCCUUCGAUACUGUUUGGCUUGAGACCGGAAGAGGUUAGUGGAACUGCGAGUGUAGAGGUGAAAUUCGUAGAUAUUCGGAAGAACACCAGUGGCGAAGGCGACUCACUGGCCCGUUACUGACGCUGAGGCUCGAAAGCGUGGGGAGCAAACAGG
rnacentral:rRNA from 1 species